AUACACCACAAGGGGAGCUUUUGCUGAGAGUGAACAGUUUUGUUCUUACCCUUCGAACCUGUAAGUUAACGCUUGCGCAGGGAUGUGGAUAGAAACCUGC
rnacentral:ncRNA from 2 species